rnacentral:lncRNA from 1 species
GGAUUGAGGAGAGAAAUGGACGGUGAUAUUAAGUAGCAAGUUUUAAUUGUUUAUUUUUUUUUCCAGCACUGUAAUGUUUUUUUUUUAUUGUAGAAGUGAUGAAAAGUUUUAUUAUGGUUUUAGAUAAAGUAGCUGAAUCAUUUCAUGUUUCCUUUACUAUUCAUGCAUUCCUUCUUUUUUAUUUACUGUUCGUGAAUGAUUGCAAUAAUAUAUGUCUUCAACCAACAUUUGAUUUCUUUAGC